rnacentral:rRNA from 1 species
AAGCUGCUAGAUAUUGCACAGUUUUCCUACAACUUGUAAAGGAGCGAGGCAACAAACCAGAGCCCAUUUGAGGUUGUAACAGGGUUCGAUUGCUGCAGGUUAUAUAGGGCUGAAUCUAGUAGCAUACAAGUUUGCCAAGGCAUGGCAAGAGCAAACUGACUUGGCCAGAGUUUAUCUACACAAGGCGGCCAAGAGGUCGAAGAAGUGGGUAGACCAGAAUAGGCGGGACGUGCAGUUCUAGGUUGGAGACUUGGUGUUGGUGAAGCUGCAUCCCAUUGUGCACCACAAGGGGCUGCACAAAGGCCUAGUCCAGAGGUAUGAGGGACCUUUUCGAGUAGUCAAGAGGGUAGGCAAGGUUUCCUACAAGCUGGAUAUGCCACCCAAGCUGAGGGUACACCCGGUGUUCGAUGUGAGCAUGCUCAAGCCGUUCGAUGAGGAUGAGAGAGAUCCAGGAUGGGCCGAGUCAAAGUGUGCACCAUUGGGAGCAAGGGCCUCAUAUGAGAAGGAGGUCCACAGCAUCAUAGCUGAUCGGGAGGUGAGACAGAAGAACUAUCAGCCAAGACAAGAGUACUUGGUGCACUGGAAGGGACUUCCAAACAGUGAGGCGAGCUGGGAACUAUCAGAUGACUUAUGGCAGUUUGGGGACCAGAUCAGGUAGUACCAUGUAGAAGACGCAACGAGGGCAUUGCACAAUCAGGUGAGGGAGAAUGUCAUGCCCUGGGCGGGCACGCCUGGCACAUCAGGCAGACCAACAGGUGAGCCAGAGGUUGAAGCCCGCAGACCAGGCGUGCUGGCGGGUAUCUGCAUGCAAAGGCUAGCAAACGAGUUCAAAACACCCGCCCAACUUGCAGGCCAGCCCGUGAGACCAAGGCUUGGUAUACAAGCUACCCAUACCACAUCCAAAAGGGCCCAAGGUGCUAGAUACGCAAGUGAAGCUUUUGAAAGCAGGUAGGAUCAGUAAGAGCAUCCUGGCAAAUUUGGUUGACCCUGAAAAUCAGGAGUUAGCAUCCUGAUUGAUUGUAAUCUGUAUAAUCCCUUGAUUUUAGCCUUUCUUCUAGGGAUAUUGCCAUUAAGUGUAGCUGGAGCCUCAACUAUAAAUAGAGGGCUGCUCUAUCCUCAUUUGUACACCAUCAAACACUUCUAUUUCAGUGAAUACAAGAGCAUUUCCAAAAUUCUAUCUUCUUAUCUUGUUUCUCUUUAACUUGCGUAAUCAGCCCUUCCCAUUGUUCUAGGGCCCGCACGCUUGUGUUUUAAGCUGACUUAGGCAUAAAAGAGGAGAUUCCAAGCCUAAGGUUGCAUGAUUUCUGAGUCUAAGGUAGGGGCCUGUGACACCAGCAGUCGAAAGAGCACCGCACGUCUCGUGGUGUCCGGUGCCCCCCCUGCGGCCCUUGAAAAUUCGGAGGACCGAGUGCCAUCCGCGCUCGAUCGUACUUAUAAUCGCAUCAGGUCUCCAAGGUGAACAGCCUCUGGUCGAUGGAACAAUGUAGGCAAGGGAAGUCGGCAAAAUGGAUCCUUAACCUCGAGAAAAAGAUUGGCUCUAAGGGAUGGGCACGAGGGUCCCAGUCUCGAACCUGUUGGCUGUCGGUGCACUGCUCAAGCUGUUCCCACGGCAAGAGCAAGUCACCGCGUGCCGAUCGGGGGACAGACUGGGAACGAUUCCCUUGGGGGCCUUCCUCAGGCGACGAACAGUCGACUCAAAACUGGUACAAACAAAGGGAAUCUGACUGUUUAAUUAAAACAAAGCAUUGUGAUGGUCCUUGCGGAUGCUUACGCAAUGUGAUUUCUGCCCAGUGCUCUAAAUGUCAAAGUGAAGAAAUUCAACCAAGCGCGGGUAAAUGACGAGAGUAACUAUGACUCUCUUAAGGUAACCAAAUGCCUCAUCAUCUAAUUAGUGACGCGCAUGAAUGGAUUAACGAGAUUCCCACUGUCUCUGUCUACUCUCCAGCAAAACCACAGCUAAGGGAAUGGGCUUGGCGAAAUCAACGGGGAAAGAAGACCUUGUUGAGCUUGACUCUCAUUUGACUUUGUGAAAUAACUUGAGAGGUGUAGGAUAAGUGGGAGCCCCCAGGCGAAAUUCAAAUACCACUACUAUUAAUGUUAUUUUACUUAUUCCGUGAAUCGGAGGUGGGGCACCACCCCUUCUUUUAGACCCAAGGCCAGCCUCAGUCGAUCGAUCUGGGCAAAAGACAUUGUCAGGUGGGGAGUUUGGCUGGGGUGGCACAUCUGUUAAAAGAUAACGCAGGUGUCCUAAGAUGAGCUCAACGAGAACAGAAAUCUCGUGUGAAACAAAGGGUAAAAGCUUGUUUGAUUCUGAUUUCCAGUAUGAAUACGAACCAUGAAAGCGUGGCCUAUCGAUCCUUUAGACCUUCGGGAUUUGAAGCUAGAGGUGUCAGAAAAGUUACCACAGGGAUAACUGGCUUGUGGCAGCCAAGUGUUCAUAGCGACAUUGCUUUUUGAUCCUUCGAUGUCGGCUCUUCCUAUCAUUGUGAAGCAAAAUUCACCAAGUGUUGGAUUGUUCACCCACCAAUAGGGAAUAUGAGCUGGGUUUAGACCGUCAUGAGACAGGUUAGUUUUACCCUACUGAUGGUGGCAUCCCGAUAGUAAUUCAACCUAGUACGAGAAGAACCAUUGAUUCGCACAAUUGGUCAUCACGCUUGGUUGAAAAGCCAGUGGCACGAAGCUACCAUGCGUUGGAUUAUGACUGAAUGCCUCUAAGUCAGAAUCUGGGCUAGAAGUGAUGCACGUGCCUGCCACCCGAUUAUCGACCUGUAGUAGGGGCCCAUGGCCUUUAAAGGCACGUGUCGUAGGUGCAGCCCCCGCGGCGGACGAGCCGUGCGGGCCUCCUUGGAGCUCAAUUCCCACCGAACGGUGGGUAGAAUCCUUUGCAGAUGACUUAAAUAUGCGACGGGGUAUCUAAGUGGCAGAGUGGCCUUGCUACCAUGAUCCACUGAGAUUCAGCCCUUUGUCGCUUCGAUUCGUUCCUCCCCCCGUC